rnacentral:lncRNA from 1 species
GGAAAAUCCGGAUCCGUAACGAAUCGCAGCUCUCGAGUCGGUCCGUACCCACCAUCCGCAGCAGUUCUCCAAGGUGUACAGCCUCUCGUCGAUAGCGCCAAUGUCAGUAAGGGAAGUCGGCAAAAUGGAUCCGUACCUUCGGAAGAGGGAUUGGCUCCGAGGACCGGGUCGGUCGGGCCGUGUGUGCCGCCUCGCUCCCGCGCGGUCGCGUCGC